rnacentral:rRNA from 1 species
UCAGAACGAACGCGGGCGGCGUGGCUAAGACAUGCAAGUCGAACGGGUCAUGGAAUUGGGUACCCGAGACUAUGACCAGUGGCGAAAGGGUGAGGAAUAAAUAGGUAACAUACCCCGUACUCCGGGAUAGCGUCGUUGCCGCAAGGCAACUACCGAAAGGGGCGGUAAUACCGGAUGAUAUCGGACGUCACAAGAUGUCCGAUCAAAGAUUCAUCGGCGCGGGAUUGGCCUAUUUCCUAUCAGCUAGUUGGUGAGGUAACGGCCACCAAGGCGAUGACGGGUAGCGGGACUGAGAGGUUGACCCGCCACAUCGGGACUGAGACACUGCCCGGACCUCCACGGAGGGCUGCAGUAACGAAUAUUGCGCAAUGGGCGAAAGCCUGACGCAGCGACGCCGCGUGUAGGACGAAGCCCCUCGGGGUGUAAACUACUGUCAGGGGUUAGAAAGUCGGAGCAAUCCGAUUGAUCAGCCCCAGAGGAAGUCACGGCUAACUUCGUGCCAGCAGCCGCGGUAAUACGAAGGUGGCUAGCGUUGUUCGGUGUCACUGGGCUUAAAGCGCUCGUAGGCGGGACCGUAAGUGUUUUGUGAAAUCCCCCGGCUCAACCGGGGAAUGGCAGGGCAUACUGCGGUCCUUGAGGCAAACAGGGGUGCAUGGAACUCUUGGUGGAGCGGUGGAAUGCGUAGAUAUCAAGAGGAACGCCGAUGGUGAAGACAAUGCACUGGGUUUGUCCUGACGCUGAGGAGCGAAAGCGUGGGGAGCAAACAGGAUUAGAUACCCUGGUAGUCCACGCCCUAAACGAUGUUUACUAGGUUGUAGAGGAUCUGACGCCUUUACAGUCGGAGCAAAAGUGUUAAGUAAACCGCCUGGGGAGUACGGUCGCAAGGCUAAAACUCAAAGGAAUUGACGG